rnacentral:rRNA from 1 species
GACGAACGCUGGCGGCGUGCCUAAUACAUGCAAGUAGAACGCUGAAGAGAGGAGCUUGCUCUUCUUGGAUGAGUUGCGAACGGGUGAGUAACGCGUAGGUAACCUGCCUUGUAGCGGGGGAUAACUAUUGGAAACGAUAGCUAAUACCGCAUAACAAUGGAUGACACAUGUCAUUUAUUUGAAAGGGGCAAUUGCUCCACUACAAGAUGGACCUGCGUUGUAUUAGCUAGUAGGUGAGGUAACGGCUCACCUAGGCGACGAUACAUAGCCGACCUGAGAGGGUGAUCGGCCACACUGGGACUGAGACACGGCCCAGACUCCUACGGGAGGCAGCAGUAGGGAAUCUUCGGCAAUGGGGGCAACCCUGACCGAGCAACGCCGCGUGAGUGAAGAAGGUUUUCGGAUCGUAAAGCUCUGUUGUAAGUCAAGAACGAGUGUGAGAGUGGAGAGUUCACACUGUGACGGUAGCUUACCAGAAAGGGACGGCUAACUACGUGCCAGCAGCCGCGGUAAUACGUAGGUCCCGAGCGUUGUCCGGAUUUAUUGGGCGUAAAGCGAGCGCAGGCGGUUUGAUAAGUCUGAAGUUAAAGGCUGUGGCUCAACCAUAGUUCGCUUUGGAAACUGUCAAACUUGAGUGCAGAAGGGGAGAGUGGAAUCCCAUGUGUAGCGGUGAAAUGCGUAGAUAUAUGGAGGAACACCGGUGGCGAAAGCGGCUCUCUGGUCUGUAACUGACGCUGAGGCUCGAAAGCGUGGGGAGCGAACAGGAUUAGAUACCCUGGUAGUCCACGCCGUAAACGAUGAGUGCUAGGUGUUGGAUCCUUUCCGGGAUUCAGUGCCGCAGCUAACGCAUUAAGCACUCCGCCUGGGGAGUACGACCGCAAGGUUGAAACUCAAAGGAAUUGACGGGGGCCCGCACAAGCGGUGGAGCAUGUGGUUUAAUUCGAAGCAACGCGAAGAACCUUACCAGGUCUUGACAUCCCGAUGCUAUUUCUAGAGAUAGAAAGUUACUUCGGUACAUCGGUGACAGGUGGUGCAUGGUUGUCGUCAGCUCGUGUCGUGAGAUGUUGGGUUAAGUCCCGCAACGAGCGCAACCCCUAUUGUUAGUUGCCAUCAUUCAGUUGGGCACUCUAGCGAGACUGCCGGUAAUAAACCGGAGGAAGGUGGGGAUGACGUCAAAUCAUCAUGCCCCUUAUGACCUGGGCUACACACGUGCUACAAUGGUUGGUACAACGAGUUGCGAGUCGGUGACGGCAAGCUAAUCUCUUAAAGCCAAUCUCAGUUCGGAUUGUAGGCUGCAACUCGCCUACAUGAAGUCGGAAUCGCUAGUAAUCGCGGAUCAGCACGCCGCGGUGAAUACGUUCCCGGGCCU